CCUACGGGAGGCAGCAGUGGGGAAUAUUGCACAAUGGGGGAAACCCUGAUGCAGCGACGCCGCGUGAGGGAAGAAGUAAUUCGUUACGUAAAGCUCUAUCAGCAGGGAAGAAAUACUGACCUUACGGUCAGCAGACGGUACCUGAGUAAGAAGCACCGGCUAACUACGUGCCAGCAGCCGCGGUCAUACGUAGGGGGCAAGCGUUAUCCGGAUUUACUGGGUGUAAAGGGAGCGUAGACGGUGCGCCAAGUCUGGAGGGAAAUGCCGCAGCUUAACUGCGGAACUGCUUUGGAAACUGGCGAACUAGAGUGCGGGAGGGGUAAGCGGAAUUCCUAGUGUAGCGGUGAAAUGCGUAGAUAUUAGGAGGAACACCGGUGGCGAAGGCGGCUUACUGGACCGUAACUGACGUUGAGGCUCGAAAGCGUGGGGAGCAAACAGGAUUAGAUACCCCUGUAGUC
rnacentral:rRNA from 1 species